CAUAAACACAUUUGUUUAUAACAAAAAGUAAUAAAAACAUAUGUAGAUUUUUUUAAAUUGGACGUAUUGCUAUUUUUAUCCUAGUCGAAAUUAUGAAACGAAACGUUUUGACAGUCCGUUUACCAAUAAGCAGUGAUCAGUUUCUUUUGUUUGUUUUUCUAUUGUUUACCUACUAUAUUAGAUGAUGACUUACCUCCAAAACGCUUUAAAACUUUCGUUUAUAAUUCUAAGUGUGUUUAUAAUUAAAGAGCUACAGUGAAAUAAAAUGAAUUCUUCAAGAAAGGCAGCACCCAUGACAAAAGAUGAGACGAUGAUUCUAGCAGAACUUGUGGCGGCGAAAAAACAUUUCAAUAAUAAGGCAACAAAUGCCACAAACAAUAAAUUGAAGGAGCAGGCUUGGCAAACCCUUGUAAAUGAUUUUAAUUCGUCGAUUCGUCGUUUCCCACGAACUCCAUCGCAGCUUCGACUAAAAUGGGAAAACUUAAAGAACGCUACGGCAACAUAAGAAACAACCUUAGUAAGGCUGGAGGUGGUAAGGAUUGCAGAUGAAAUUUUGGAUAAAGCAUGCACAUUGUUGUAGGUCACAUAUAAUAUUUUUAACACUUACAGCCAAGCGGAAACAAGAUGGAAGAAAAGAAAUGCAAGGCUAGCAUAGGGACAAUGCAUUUGCAGAAUAUCUAAUAGCAAAAAAGAGACUUGACUUGGAAAAUAAAGAAAAGGAGAUUGUUGUAGCAAAAGUUAAGUUAGAUUUAGAUAAUUUAAAAAAUUAAAAAUUACUUAAAAGGAAUAUUAAAUUUCAUAAAUUAAGUAGGCAAUAAUAAUUUUAUGUUAGAUAGUUUUUUAAGUAUAUGUACAAAUUCUAAAUUAAAUAUCUUGCAUGUACUAACUACCAUGUAAUUAUCAUUUUGGAAAAUAAAAAAUAGUCAAAUUA